rnacentral:rRNA from 1 species
UGGGGAAUUUUGCGCAAUGGGCGAAAGCCUGACGCAGCGACGCCGCGUGUGCGAUGAAGGCCCUUGGGUCGUAAAGCACUGUCAACCGGGACGAAAUGCCGCUGGUGAACAGCCAGUGGAGCUGACGGUACCGGUAGAGGAAGCACCGGCUAACUCUGUGCCAGCAGCCGCGGUAAUACAGAGGGUGCAAACGUUGCUCGGAAUUACUGGGCGUAAAGAGCGUGUAGGCGGCCUUUUAAGUCGUCUGUGAAAUCCCAUGGCUCAACCAUGGACGUGCAGACGAUACUGGGAGGCUCGAGUCCUGGAGAGGGUGGUGGAAUUCCCAGUGUAGAGGUGAAAUUCGUAGAUAUUGGGAGGAACACCAGUGGCGAAGGCGACCACCUGGACAGGUACUGACGCUGAGACGCGAAAGCGUGGGGAGCAAACAGGAUUAGAUACCCCCGUAGUCC